rnacentral:rRNA from 1 species
UACGAAGGGUGCGAGCGUUAUUCGGAAUCACUGGGCGUAAAGGGUGCGUAGACGGUAUGUUAAGUUCGUUGUUAAAGCCUCCGGCCUAACCGGAGUAUUGCGAUGAAAACUGGCAAGCUAGAGUGUGAGAGAGAGAAGUGGAAUUCCCGGAGUAGCGGUAAAAUGCGUGGAUAUCGGGAGGAACACCAAUGGCGAAGGCAGCUUCUUGGGUCAUUCCUGACGUUGAGGCACUAAAGCGUGGGGAGCAAACAGG